rnacentral:rRNA from 1 species
AUGGCGGAGUUUGCGCUUGGGCUGACCAAGACGGCAGUGGAGGGGACGCUGAGCCGGGUGAAGUCGGCCAUUGAGGAGGAGACAACGCUAAUGGUGCGGGUGCAGGAUGACCUGGUGUUCAUCACCGGGGAGUUUCAAAUGAUGCAAUCUUUCCUCAAAGUCGCCAAUGUUGAGCGCGUCAAGAAUGAAGUGGUGCGGACAUGGGUGAGGCAGCUCCGCGACCUAGCCUUCGACAUCGAGGACUGUGUAGAGUUUGUCGUCCACCUCGACAAGGCCUCACACUGGGACUGGUUGCGGCGCUUGACCUCAUCCCUCAUGUGCAUGUCAAGGCCACCGCUCCCCCUGGACAAGGCGGUUGCAGACAUAAAGCGGCUCAAGACCAGGGUGGAGGUCAUAAGCCAGAGGAACACCCGCUACAACCUCAUUAGUGACUCUGGCUCCGGCUCUGGCUCUGGCUCUGAUUCCAAGACUACUAUUUUCUCUCUAGCAGUAGUGGCACCUGGCAACCCCGCCAGUGCAAGCGCAACAUCAGCAUUCAACAUCCUAAGCAAGGUGUGGGAUGAUCUAGGGAAGAAGCGACAUGGCAUGAGCGACCUCAAAAGGUUGAUCCAAUGUGAAGGGAAUGACCUUCAAGUGAUUUCAUUGUUGAGAAGAGGAGGAGGAGCUGCUACUGCUGCUCCUCAUAUUAUCAGGGAGGCAUACAAUGACCUAGAGAUCCGCCAAGAAUUCAGCAUCCGGGCUUGGGUAAAGUUGAUACGUCCUUUUAACCCUGACGAGUUCCUCAAGAGCUUGAUCACUCAGUUCUACGCCGCCUCCUCUCACCAAUUUCGGGCAGUGGAAGACCACCGUCUCAUCAAGACUGAUGAGGUCAUGCAGCAGGUGAGAGAGCAUAGGUAUCUUGUCAUCUUGGAAAAUGUAUCCACACCGGCGGAGUGGGACGUCAUCCGAGUGUAUCUUCCGGGCACGAGCAAUGGUAGUCGGAUCAUCGUGUUGACAGAACACUUGGGGCUUGCAAUUUCCUGCACCGGGAAGCCAUACCAAGUAUCAGAGCUUAGACGGUUCUCUCAAGACCAACCACUUUGUGCUUUUUUCAGCAAGGUUCCUGGGCGUCGCAGUGAUAUGAGUGAGCUUUGUUGGCAAUUGAGACGUGGUGAUGUCAUAUCAGUGUGGGGCUUUAGCAAAACAACGACCGAAGAUGAUAGAGAAUCAAUGACUCGCUCUGAGACCAUAUCAACUAGUCUGCUUGAUAGCGUAUACACCAGCAUAACACGUAAGUCGAAGGGAUUCAUUGCUGAUGGAGUAGAAUUUGAAAAACACAGCUGGGUCGACGUACCUUAUCCAUUUGAUAUUAAUGUCUUCUGCAAACACCUUCUUCUGAGUUUCUAUUCUGACGAUUUUGGAGCCGAGGAUAUCACAGCAUUGGGAGACCGAGAUCACGAGGAAGAGCGUGUGAUCAACUUCCAAGAUUUGGAAUCCGACAUGGUGCUCCAUCACUUGAUAAAGGGUUGCGAAUACUAUGGAAUCGGAGUCAAGGAGGCUUGGGGUCGCCUUUUCUCCAAUAGAAUAGAAGAGGCAUGUAACUGGACCAAAAAAUUUGGACAUGUGGUGCGUAAGGAUCAAGCAAAUGGGCUUGUUGAUCUUUUAAAGGAUCCUGGUGUGAUAUCCGUAUGUGGGACUGCUGGAGCUGGAAAAUUGCCUCUCGUCAGAAGAAUUUUCUACCACCAACUUCUAAUCACGUGCCAAGAUGAGAACAUAAUGACUGAGAAUUAUCGUAAAGAGUUUUGUGACUUGGGAUUUACAUUGUUCAGCUGGGUCGAUGUACCACAUCCCUUUAGUCUUAAAGACUUUGGUUGGCGUUUGGUUUUGGGUUUUUCUUCAAAUGACCUCAAAGAGAAGGAAACUAUGGCAGUACUAAUGAUGGAAGGCCAACUUGACUCAAUUCAAGACUUCUGUCGAGAAUUCAUGCAUAAACAAAGAUGUUUCGUUGUUAUCAACGGUCUGCGUUCUAUGCAUGAUUGGAACUUGAUAAGUGAUGCCUUCAUAUCGUCAGAGCAUAGUAAAUGUUGUACCGUUGUCAUUACAAAUGAAGCAAGUGUUGCCAGGCAUUGUGCAGAUAAAAACAGUCGAAUCUUAAAUAUCAAAGGUGUUGAAGCUGAAACAAGACUGCGUCCCUUGAUAAAGGAUUGUGGAUACUAUGGCAAUGAAUGCGGGGAGACUUCUCGCUUUUUUUCCAACCGAAGGGAAGAGACACGUCACUGGGCCAACACAUUUGAACCCCUUGUUGGCCGUCAGCGUAUAGUGACUUAUCAGCUUGCAGCCGACUGUUUAGAAAAAACUGAUGUUGGUGUUGGAAAAUCUGCUCUCGUCAGAUGUGUCUACAGCAAGGCCAUGCUCGACAGUGAAGGGAGAUUUACAUCCUUUGGUUGGGUCAAUGUGCCACAUCCAUUCGAUCUAAUAGACUUCUGUUGGCACUUACUUGCGGACAUUCAUUCAGAUGAUCAUCAGGCAAAAGAAACCGCAGUAGUUGCUAUCAUUGACGGGGCCCAAGAUCCAAUUCAAGAGUGCCGCAAGUUUCUACAUACAGAAUCCUUCGUUGUUAUUGAUGGUCUGCACUCUACACAUGACUGGGACGUGAUAAGAGAAGCCCUCUUACCUGAGACUACCAAAGGCUGCAUUAUUGUCAUUUCGAAUGAAAUAAAUGUGGCCACACACUGUGUGCCAGGAGAAGGUCGGGUCAUCAACGUUAAAAACCUAGAACCCGAUGCGGCGCUUCACCUAUUGUCAAAGUGUGUGGGCACUAUAUCGUCAACGGCGACGCCAUUGACCAUGCAGCUAACUAACUAA